AUGGCAAAUACAACAACAAGCUUACAUCUACUCUCUCUGAAUCAAGCAAGGCACACAAGCCUUAGCAGAAUAUCGAUGAGAGUCUCAUGUACGCUGCUAACUAGAGUUUGGUUAAUGCGCUGCUUAAGGAAAAAAAAACAUUGGUGGAGUUCUUCAAGCAUGUUCAGCAACACAUGGGUGAUAAUGAAGAUGAGAGAUAUGGAGAUUCAUUUUGUUAGUUUCUUUGGGAAAAUCGGGUUGCUGUCAAAGAUAAAAUG